rfam:Spinacia oleracea cultivar SynViroflay scaffold83043.con0016.1, whole genome shotgun sequence.
AAGGCGUAUUCUGAAAAGCCUAAUAUCAAAAGAGUAAGAA